GGUACAUCGGUGACAGGUGGUGGCAUGGUUGUCGUCAGCUCGUGUCGUGAGAUGUUGGGUUAAGUCCCGCAACGAGCGCAACCCCUAUUGUUAGUUGCCAUCAUUCAGUUGGGCACUCUAGCGAGACUGCCGGUAAUAAACCGGAGGAAGGUGGGGAUGACGUCAAAUCAUCAUGCCCCUUAUGACCUAGGCUACACACGUGCUACAAUGGUUGGUACAACGAGUUGCGAGUCGGUGACGGCGAGCUAAUCUCUUAAAGCCAAUCUCAGUUCGGAUUGUAGGCUGCAACUCGCCUACAUGAAGUCGGAAUCGCUAGUAAUCGCGGAUCAGCACGCCGCGGUGAAUACGUUCCCGGGCCUU
rnacentral:rRNA from 1 species